UUUAAACGUAAAUUAAUAAACUUAAUUAUUAAUAGUUAUGUUCUUUAAAGUUAAAGGAUUUGGCGGUAUUUUAGUCUAUUUAGAGGAACCUGUUCUAUAAUCGAUAAUCCACGAUUUAUUAUACUUACUUUACUAGUUUAUAUAUCGUCGUAGUUUGAAUGUUUUAAAAGAAUUUAAAUGUUCAAGAUUCUUUAUAAAGAAGGAAAUCAGAUCAAGGUGUAGCUUAUAGGUAAGGAGAAAUGGGUUACAAUAAAUUUAUUUAUAUGGUAUAGAUGUUUGAAAAAUUUCUAUUAAAGUGGAUUUAAAAGUAAUAAAGUUAAAUUUAAUUUUAUGAUUUUAGCUCUAAAAUAUGU
rnacentral:rRNA from 1 species